rnacentral:misc_RNA from 1 species
CCUUAAAGAACCUGCCUUUGUAGUGCUCACACAGAUUGUCUGAUGAACGUAAAGAAGCAAGGCGUCUUGCGAUUGAGACUUCAGUGUCCCCUUCGUCUAGAGGCCCAGGACACCGCCCUUUCACGGCGGUAACAGGGGUUCGAAUCCCCUAGGGGACGCCACUUGCUGGUUCGUGAGUGAAAGACGCGUGCCGAACUAUCUCAAAACUCAUCUUCGGGUGACGUUUGAGAUACUUGCUCUUUAAAAAUCUGGAUCAAGCUGAAAAUUGAAACGACACACAGUUAAUGUGUGUUCGAGUCUCUCAAAUUUUCGCAAUCAGAAGUGAAACAUCUUCGGGUUGUGA